AGAGUUUGAUCCUGGCUCAGAUUGAACGCUGGCGGCAUGCUUUACACAUGCAAGUCGAACGGGGUUAAGGGGCUUGCUCCUUAAUCUAGUGGCGAACGGGUGAGUAAUGCAUCGGAACGUACCCGGGAGUGGGGGAUAACGCACCGAAAGGUGUGCUAAUACCGCAUAUUCUGUGAGCAGGAAAGCAGGGGACCUUAGGGCCUUGUGCUUCCGGAGCGGCCGAUGUCGGAUUAGCUAGUUGGUGAGGUAAAGGCUCACCAAGGCGACGAUCCGUAGCGGGUCUGAGAGGAUGAUCCGCCCCC
rnacentral:rRNA from 1 species